UACGUAGGGACCAAGCGUUGUUCGGAUUUACUGGGCGUAAAGGGCGCGUAGGCGGCUUAACAAGUCACUUGUGAAAUCUCCGGGCUUAACCCGGAAAGGUCAGCCGAAACUGCGGGGCUAGAGUGCAGAAGGGGCAACUGGAAUUCUUGGUGUAGCGGUGAAAUGCGUAGAUAUGCGGAGGAACACCGAUGGCGAAGGCAAUCCCCUGGACCUGUACUGACGCUCAUGCACGAAAGCGUGGGGAGCAAACAGG
rnacentral:rRNA from 1 species